GACGGAGGAUGCAAGCGUUAUCCGGAAUGAUUGGGAGUAAAGCGUUCGCAGGUGGCUGUUCAAGUCUGCUGUCAAAGACCGGGGCUUAACCCUAGAAAGGCAGUGGAACCUGAACGGCUGGAGUGCAGUAGGGGUAGAGGGAAUUCCCAGUGUAGCGGUGAAAUGCGUAGAGAUUGGGAAGAACACCGGUGGCGAAAGCGCUCUGCUGGACUGCAGCUGACACUGAGGGACGAAAGCUAGGGGAGCGAAAGGG
rnacentral:rRNA from 1 species